GAUGAACGCUAGCUACAGGCUUAACACAUGCAAGUCGAGGGGCAGCAUUUCAGUUUGCUUGCAAACUGGAGAUGGCGACCGGCGCACGGGUGAGUAACACGUAUCCAACCUGCCGAUAACUCGGGGAUAGCCUUUCGAAAGAAAGAUUAAUACCCGAUAGUAUAAUGAAACCGCAUGGUCUUAUUAUUAAAGAAUUUCGGUUAUCGAUGGGGAUGCGUUCCAUUAGGCAGUUGGUGAGGUAACGGCUCACCAAACCUUCGAUGGAUAGGGGUUCUGAGAGGAAGGUCCCCCACAUUGGAACUGAGACACGGUCCAAACUCCUACGGGAGGCAGCAGUGAGGAAUAUUGGUCAAUGGGCGCAGGCCUGAACCAGCCAAGUAGCGUGAAGGAUGACUGCCCUAUGGGUUGUAAACUUCUUUUAUAUGGGAAUAAAGUUUUCCACGUGUGGAAUUUUGUAUGUACCAUAUGAAUAAGGAUCGGCUAACUCCGUGCCAGCAGCCGCGGUAAUACGGAGGAUCCGAGCGUUAUCCGGAUUUAUUGGGUUUAAAGGGAGCGUAGGUGGACAGUUAAGUCAGUUGUGAAAGUUUGCGGCUCAACCGUAAAAUUGCAGUUGAUACUGGCUGUCUUGAGUACAGUAGAGGUGGGCGGAAUUCGUGGUGUAGCGGUGAAAUGCUUAGAUAUCACGAAGAACUCCGAUUGCGAAGGCAGCUCACUGGACUGCAACUGACACUGAUGCUCGAAAGUGUGGGUAUCAAACAGG
rnacentral:rRNA from 1 species